UGCAAAUAUUUGCAGGACAUUCCAAUGAAGGGUUACAAUGAAUGUACGUUCAAAGCUUAUGAUUUUUGCAUUUCCUACAAUUUACAAUAUUUUUUAUCAAUUCCCAGAAAUAUGUGAGAUUCUUAUGGAGAUUACUGUCUUCUUGGUUGCAGCACAAUGUAGUCUGGUAGAAGUUUACCAAUGCUUCAGAGGUCCUAGGUGUCUCCAACCCAGAAGACAGCCAUCUUCAUGGAAUUCCACUUUAUAAUUUACAGUCUAAUGAAGUGACAAAGGCAUCUAGAUGUGUGUCAUCAACAGACUUAUAAUAACAUACUAAUCACAUUUAAUGAAAGUAAAGUUGUGGUUGUCUACCAAAAUUUAAUGAAGUUUUGGGUGAGGUCAGAAUGCAGUAUUCUUAUCAGAGUCAGUAAACCUGGAAACCCUCACAAGCCAAAAAAAGCCUGUUUCAGAAUCUUCUCAACGUCCAAAAUAGUCGUAGCCUCUUCUUCUGCCAGCAAGAUGUAUGCGGAAGCACAGUCAGCAUUCUUUUCAAGUGCAUCAUGUGCAGCUUUAAUCCUUGCUACUGGGUUACGUUCACGCCACGCUGUCUGCAUUACUGACAGAAGUACAUAUGUUAAACACAUACACACAUCUUAAAAUCAUACUGAAUAUCAAUCAACAAGGCAAACACAGUUAAAUCAUAAAUAAACCUCAGUCUGAAAUAUCAUACUUGAAUAUGAAGCUCAUAUACCAUCCUCCAAUGAAAGGAAACACAGAGCUCACGAGCCCGCCUGGAGCCGCCGCUGGUGCAGAUCUUGGUGGUAGUAGAAAAUUUUGCUAUGCAGAAAUGUUGUCUGUUGUAGAAGAACCAUUAGAAACCAUAACGAGUAUCAAACAAUGACAGAAUAAUGAGGAAGGAACUUGUGAGAUAAUCUCAGUGCCACUUCAUUCAAUACAAGUAUCAUCUGAAGCCAUACCAGGAUUGAACUUGGAUCACUCCAGUGAGAAGCCAGCAUCAAAUCACAUAAGCUAUUGCAUGGCCAUACCACAGACAUAUCUGUGACAGUUCAGAAAAUAUUACAAAUGUAUCUUCUUGACUUGGUCUCAUACCCACAUUAUAUUCUAUGAAGAAAAGUGUCAUUUAGUUACCCUGCAAGUACAACCAAACACAUUUGCUGAUGUAAUUUCCAAACUUCAAAACCAGACCAGGAUUUUGUACGGUCUUUUCACACAAUAAGGUGAAAGGGCUCCAAUACAGAACCUCAAUAAAUUAUGAAGGUCUAAAAGGUCAUAAUCAUUGUGCUUUCAGUCUGGAUUGCUCAGGACAUGAAUUAGAAGAGAAGGGGCAAAAAUUAUGAAUAGAUGGGGAACAUAUAUGGGGGUGGGGGUGCGAUGAGAUUGUGUGCAAGCCAAUAAUGAUGAAAGAAGAAAAACAUGGCAUACAGAAGAUAAAAAAUGUCCACGAGGAGAAGGAGCAAUAGUUGAAGAAAGGUAAUGGGGAACAAAGAAAUGAGAAGAGGA